rnacentral:rRNA from 1 species
CCAGACUCCUCGGGAGGCAGCAGUGAGGAAUAUUGGUCAAUGGGCGGAAGCCUGAACCAGCCAAGUCGCGUGAGGGAAGAAGGCCCUGCGGGUCGCAGACCUCUUUAGGCGGGGAGCAAUGCCGGGCACGCGUGCCCGGAGGGAGAGUACCCGCAGAAUAAGCAUCGGCUAACUCCGUGCCAGCAGCCGCGGUAAUACGGAGGAUGCGAGCGUUAUCCGGAUUUAUUGGGUUUAAAGGGUGCGUAGGCGGAAUGCCAAGUCAGGGGUAAAAUCGCGGGGCUCAACCUCGCUCCGCCGUUGAAACUGGCGUUCUUGAGUGGGCGAGAAGUAUGCGGAAUGCGUGGUGUAGCGGUGAAAUGCAUAGAUAUCACGCAGAACUCCGAUUGCGAAGGCAGCAUACCGGCGCCCAACUGACGCUGAAGCACAAAAGCGUGGGUAUCGAACAGGAUUAGAUACCCCUGUAU